CGUCGUCACCUUCACCAUGAGCCGUGCGGCCUUUUCCAGCUGGGGCUCCCCACUGCUCAGAGAUAAAGGUUUCCAGAGGCGUCAGCAUGACGCUCAGCCCCGGCCUCUUUUUCUCUCGUUCUUGCACCAUCUGUCUGUUGAGUGCCUGCCACAUGCCAGGUGCAGCCUCAGAUGCCGGAGGCAUAGUCACUUUCGGAUGAGGGAAGCAGAUAGCCCACCAGCGAGCACAGGGACGUGCCAGAUUUCGCUCUUGUCGCCCAGGCUGGAGUGCAACGGUAUGAUCUCAUGUCACGGCAACCUCCGCCUCCCAGGUUCAAGCAAUUCUCCCGCCUCAGCCUCCCGAGUAGCUGGGACUACAGGUGCCUGCCACCAAGCUCAGCUAAUUUUUGUAUCUUUAGUAGAGACGGGGUUUCACUAUGCUGGCCAGGCUCGUCUCGAACUCCUGACCUCAAGUGAUCCGCGCGCCUCGGCCUCCCAAAGUGCUGGGAUUACAGGCGUGAGCCACCACGUCUGGCCUUCUUGUCCGUUUAUUUAUUCAUUCAACAAAUAUUCAUGAAAUGUAUGUUGUAAGCUGAAUACUUUGCCAGGCUCCGAGGACCAGUCAGGCACUUUGAUGCCUUCAAGCAGCCUAGGACCUAGAGGUUUCAAUGCCUCUGCUUUCCUAUUUAUAAAUGGGCAGACUGGACCUGAAGUCCUGAAGGCUCACCCGCCUGGAAGCCACCUCUCCUCUGGAGUUCUGAUGACGCUGCAGAAGCCUGUACGUAUCUCUGCCCAAUACCACAUGUACAACAGAGGACUUUAACUAAAACGAGUGAGAGAGAGAGAUUCCUUUUUCCCAACUUAGGAUCUAAAAGUUUCUUGAACGUUCAGUUCUGUGGCUCCAUUGCCCACCCAGAUCACCCACCCUGGCUACAACCAAUCCAAAAACUUGAACAGAUUAAGAGUUUACCAACCCACCCUUCCUUUCUGACCUGGAGUGAGAAAGAAGCACAGUUGUCCCUCAGUAUCCACAGGCGAUCUGGUCCAGGUCCUUAAGAAUACCGAAAUAUGCAGAUGCUCAAGUCUCUGAUAUAAAAUGUGUAGUAUUUGCAUAUAAGCUAUGCACAUCCUCCCAUAGAGUUUAAAUAAUCUCUAGAUUACUUAUAACACCUAAUACAAUGUAAAUGCUAUAUAAAUGGUUAUACUAUAUUGUUUUCAUUUGCAUUAUUUUCUAUUUUUUAUCUAUUUUUUUUUUUUUUUGAGAUGGAGUCUUGCUCUGUCACCCAGGCUGGGGUGCAAUGACGUAAUCUCUGCUCACUGCAACCUCUGCCUCCUGGGUUCAAGCAGUUCUCGUGACUCAGCCUCCCAAGUAGCUGAGAUUAUAGGCGUCUGCCACCACAUCUGGCUAAUUUUUGUAUUUUUAGUAGAGAAAGGGUUUCACCAUGUUGACCAGGCUGGUCUUGAACUCCUGACCUCAAGCAGUCCACCCGCCUCAGCCUCCCAAAGUGCUGAGUUUACAGGCAUGAGCCACUGUGCCUGGCCAUUAUUUCUAUUUUCUACUUGUGGUUAGUGGUUAGUUGAAUCUGUGGAGGCAGAAACUGCAGCUAUGAAGGGCCGGCUGUACUAUAACUGCCUGCUCUGCUUGUCUUCUACCCAGAAACCUGGGCAAAUGGGCUAGGAGCUAUUUGCAAGGCUGUAAUUUUUGGUUAACGAACAACUUCUCUGCUCAUAGCCAUGGGAACCAGGGAAGGAGACAAGAAAACCAGAACCAAUCUUCUUCUUUCAGUGUGAAACCAUCUUUUAUUCUUGCUGGGAACUAUCUGGGCAUCUGGGAGGAGUGUGAAGGAGCAAUACUAUACAGAGGGAAGGGUUUGGGCUCUGGAAGCAGAUCGCUUACCAGCUCUAUGACCUUAGGCAAGUCACUGUUCCACUCUGACCCUCUGUCUCCUUUUCAGCAAAAUGGAAAUAAUAAAUCUAUUCCUAGGCCUGGCAUGGUGGCUCACGAAUGUAAUCCCAGCACUUUGGGAGGCCGAGCUGGGAGGAUCACUUGAGCACAGGAGUUCGAAAUUAGCCUCAGCAACAAUUGAGACUGUGUCUUUACUAAAAAAUAAUUUAAAAGUUAGGCAGGCAUGGUGGUUCGCACCUGUCAUCCCAGCUACUCAGAAGGCUGAGGUGGGAGGAUUGUUUGAGCCCAGGAGGUUGAGGCUGCAGUGAGCUGUGAUUGUGCCAGUGCUCUCCAGCCUGGGUGGCAGAGUGAGACCCUAUCUCAAAAUAAACACAUAAGUAAAUAUAAAUAAAUUUCUGAGAGGAUCAAGUAAAGUGGUUAAAGUAAUAAAGCCUGGCUCAUAGAAAGCCGGGUGAUAAGUACUAGGCGACAAGCAAUAUUAUUCAUACAAAUAUAAGGACAAUGACAAUUGAGAAUAAUUUCAUUCCCUUUGUGAUAGCCACCUGAUUGUUAGUGCCUAGGAGGCACUCUCUCUAGAGGAGAGACCGAGGAUUCACUAGCAGCUCAGAUCCACAGAGCAGAGCAUACCCCAUGUGUCUCAUGGAAACACCCCUUCACAGUGGCCGAGAAACAUCUGUGCACUGCCUUGCUAGAAAUCGGGAAAUACAAAUUAAAGCAACAAAUACCAUUUCUCACCUAUUAGUUUGGCAAAAAUGUAAUAGUCUGAUACUAUCCCAUGUGGAUGAAGAUAUGAGGGAGGAGCCAGCCACAUGUGGCUGCUGGUGGGAGAGAAUAUUAAUUAGUGUGGUCAUUUGGGCAAUAUCUAGUGAAGCUGGCCACAACUCAGAGAGAUGCUCAUACAUCUGCACAAAGGCACGCACAGGUCUGCCCACUGUAGCGUGGCUCCUAACAGCGAGGAAUCAAAAACAGUCCACGUGUUCUUCAGUAGAGGAGGAACGGAAAAGAAUGUGUGGAAUCCCAUAGAGCAGCUAAACGGGAAUGAGCUCAUUAUAUGAGCAUCCAUAUGAGCUGAUCUCAAAGGUGUUGGGUGAGAAAAGAAAGGGACAUAAUGAUAGAUUUAGAAUGCUAUUUAUAUAAAAUGUUUAAAAAUAACACGCAAAAUAAUGCUAUAUACUGUAUUUUUCAUAGCUAAAACAUUCUGUACUGUACUCAUAAAAGUAUAAAAAGG
rnacentral:lncRNA from 1 species